rnacentral:rRNA from 1 species
GACAGAGGGGGCAAGCGUUGCUCGGAAUCACUGGGCGUAAAGGGCGCGUAGGCGGGAUGGCAAGUCGGUCGUGAAAUCCCUGGGCUCAACUCAGGGGGGUCGGCCGAUGCUGCCGUUCUUGAGGGAUGCAGAGGAGACUGGAAUUCCCGGUGUAGCGGUGAAAUGUGUAGAGAUCGGGAGGAACACCGGUGGCGAAGGCGGGUCUCUGGGCAUUCCCUGACGCUGAGACGCGAAAGCGUGGGGAGCGAACAGG